CCCCAUAUCCGCGGGGGCUCUCACGCACCGAGGGCUGAGAUGGCGACAGGCGGUCGCCGACCGCCUGAACCUGUCCGGGUAAUGCCGGCGUAGGGAGACCACCAUGAGCACAC
rnacentral:ncRNA from 2 species